AUUGAAUGUAGCUUCAUUAAUUUCAAAAAUUGAUACAAAUCACAUCCACCAAAUAAAAAGUAGAACAACACAUCAAUUUUGGGGAAAAAAUAUCCCAAAUGCAUACACAAAAUGAUCUCAUAUCUUGAAUUUCACGAGCAUCUUCCGCUUAAACUUUUUCUUAUUCUCUGAAAUUUUUGCCUCAACUUCAUCUUCUCCAUCCCCAUCAUCAUGUUCAUCCCACAAAGCAAUAUCCUACAUGAAGGAAGAAAUUUUUAACCAUUAAAUAUGAGACUUCAGCCAUGGAUAAUAACCAUAAGUGCAAUAUUCUAUAUACAUAAGCAAAUAUGCUACAUUUGGAGUCACCAGCAAGACUUGAAUUCUGAGUUAGCAAAUAUUUACUAACCUAUAAUUUUGGACAUAAGUCCCCAUACAAGUUGUCAAAAAAUGCAACAGUACCAUCAGAAGAUUUACGCUCUUGCAAUAAAUCUGGUCUAUCAGUUAGAAAACCCAAUAAUGGUCAGUUUCUAUAGAUUUGAAAGUGAAAAAAAAAAAUUAUAAAAAAAGUGAAAAAAAUUAUAAAAGAAAAGCUUGAAAGUGGAAUGAAAAUUAAUAAUUUGUACCUCUAGAGAUGAUUCUUGUGCACUUAACUUUCCAAGCACAAGCUUCAUUAUUCUUUUCAACUUCUUCACUUUCUUCUUCAGAAACGAUAACAUAGUGGUGAAUAUAAACAAUCAAUAUGCAACAAUUGCAUCUACGCAACCCACCUUCUUUCUCAAAGUUAUUACCUGAGUCGCAUACUCUUUAGAUUCAAGGUACUGACAUGUACACUUAGAGGAGGCAACAAACACUUUUCAAGCAGAUGCAUAUUGUUAUGCAAGCCACUUCACAUCCCAAACUUAUCAUGAUAAGUUUGUAGAAAAUCAACAAAAAAAUUGAGAGCAACGUGUCAAGUGACAAUUACAAUUAUGACAAGCAGUGCUGAAUGUUAAUUAACCAAUCAUCUCCUAACAAUACUUUUGCUCCCACCACUUAAGAUAAAGUAUAACUAAAAAAUCAUGAUUUAAAGAAGAAUUAAUUAAAGAAAAAAAUUGUGGAACUCAUUUGGAUUGUAGCACUUUUAUCUCACAGGCGGAAGCCAGCUGCAUGUAAACAUGUGAAAAACAAAGAUUUUUUAUUUUUUACUUUAUUUUUAUAAGCAAAAAACAAAGGUCGUAAACGUGAGUUACGUUACUGUAUAGUAAGGGUGGUGACAUUUUUCCACCGAUAAAGGUGGUGAUAUUUGCAAUAAGUUCAUAUUAUUAUUUUUUUCAAAAUUAAAUAAAGAAGAGGUUCGGAGAUUUAAUGAACCAAAAUUAAAUAGUUAAAUUAUUACAAAUAAGAGCUCAUGUUUUUAGGACAAUUCAGUCAUUUUAUAUUAUCGGGAUAAAAUAGUCAAAUAAAAUUUAUUGUAAAGUAAUCUUAAUGGUCAAAGAUGUCUAGGUACAAAAAAUAAUAAGAAAGAUUUAAUUGAUUUAUUGUCUAAAGUUUUGGUUGAUUUGUAUAUUUUAAAAAUAAUGCAAAGUUAUUCUAAUUAUUUUCUAGAAUUAAGGUGGAUUUACAAAAUUAAUAAAGGGUAAAUUUUCAAACUCCUGGUGGAAUAAGGAUCUUCAAAAUAUUCUUAAAUUGUUGUAAAAUUCAAUUUAUUCUAUUUUUAUUCAAAAUAUAUGGGAAAAAUGAGGGUGAGUUAGGGAAAAAAAAAUUUCGUAUUCUUUACAAAAACAAAGAAUAAGUUCAAAUUUACAAUAGCCUAUUAGAGUAUUUAUAUAUGUAGGGACAUUUCGUUCAACUAUUGAAACUCUCUUCGUUCACUUUUGCCAACAUUUCGUUUUCUGGAAAAAAAAAAAGUUGAAAUUAAAUACUAAAAAGAAAAAAAAGAGAAAUUAAAGUUGGAAUAAUUACGAAGGAGAGAGCAGCAAUGGUGGCAAUCACGAGAAGGACAGUGACGAUUUUGAACAAAUUGUCACGUACCCAUGUGGAGAAAUCAAGGGAUUUCGAAUUAGAGAAGCGAUGGGAUGAAGUUCUGAUCUGGGAUU
rnacentral:lncRNA from 1 species